rnacentral:rRNA from 1 species
UACGGAGGAUGCAAGCGUUAUCCGGAAUUAUUGGGUUUAAAGGGUGCGUAGGCGGCCAUUUAAGUCAGCGGUGAAAUUUUGCAGCUUAACUGUAACAGUGCCGUUGAUACUGUUUGGCUAGGAUUUGGUUGUAGUGUGCGGAAUGUGUGGUGUAGCGGUGAAAUGCUUAGAUAUCACACAGAACACCGAUUGCGAAGGCAGCACACUAAGUCAUUAUUGACGCUGAGGCACGAAAGUGUGGGGAGUCAAACAGGAUUAGA